rnacentral:hammerhead_ribozyme from 1 species
ACUACGCUGACGAGCCCCAAAAGGGCGAAACAGCUGUCCGCAGU